UACGGAGGAUGCGAGCGUUAUCCGGAUUUAUUGGGUUUAAAGGGUGCGUAGGCGGCCGAGUAAGUCAGCGGUGAAAUUUUGCAGCUUAACUGUAACAGUGCCGUUGAUACUGCAUGGCUAGGAUUUGGUUGCUGUGGGUGGAAUGUGUGGUGUAGCGGUGAAAUGCUUAGAUAUCACACAGAAUAUCGAUUGCGAAGGCAGCUCACAAAGCCAAGAUUGACGCUGAAGCACGAAAGUGUGGGGAUCAAA
rnacentral:rRNA from 1 species